rnacentral:misc_RNA from 1 species
GGACAGAUUUCAAUAUGGAAUUGUUAGGCUGUUGUUUCUCCUUCAAUUGUGAGAACUUGUUCACUAAAGCAGAAUACUCGACCUUUUGAGCUUCUAACUUCUGUACAAGCUUUUGAUUUUGAAAUUGGAGAACAGCAGUAUCAAGCUUCUUGUCCUCGGAGGAUUGUGAGAAUGGCUGCUUCUUAGCCAUAGCAGCCAUGGGUGAUAUGGAGCUGAAGUGACGCCGUUUUCGAUCAGGUUCUCCAGUGCUGCCCAUUGAAACCCUAACUCCCCGCCCAACAACAGCUUCACNNNNNNNNNNNAAGGUAUACCAAAUUUCAACAGAAUCCAAAAAUAAGGGAGUAGAUAUAAAGACCAUUCAGU